rnacentral:rRNA from 1 species
GGGUUGUGAGGUUAAGCGACUAAGCGUACACGGUGGAUGCCCUGGCAGUCAGAGGCGAUGAAGGACGUGCUAAUCUGCGAAAAGCGUCGGUAAGGUGAUAUGAACCGUUAUAACCGGCGAUGUCCGAAUGGGGAAACCCAGUGUGAUUCGUCACACUAUCGUUAACUGAAUACAUAGGUUAACGAGGCGAACCGGGGGAACUGAAACAUCUAAGUACCCCGAGGAAAAGAAAUCAACCGAGAUUCCCCCAGUAGCGGCGAGCGAACGGGGAGCAGCCCAGAGUCUGAAUCAGCUUGUGUGUUAGUGGAACGGUCUGGAAAGUCCGACGGUACAGGGUGAUAGUCCCGUACACCAAAAUGCACAGGCUGUGAACUCGAAGAGUAGGGCGGGACACGUGGUAUCCUGUCUGAAUAUGGGGGGACCAUCCUCCAAGGCUAAAUACUCCUGACUGACCGAUAGUGAACCAGUACCGUGAGGGAAAGGCGAAAAGAACCCCGGCGAGGGGAGUGAAAAAGAACCUGAAACCGUGUACGUACAAGCAGUGGGAGCACCUUCGGGUGUGACUGCGUACCUUUUGUAUAAUGGGUCAGCGACUUAUAUUCUGUAGCAAGGUUAACCGUAUAGGGGAGCCGCAGGGAAACCGAGUCUUAACUGGGCGUUAAGUUGCAGGGUAUAGACCCGAAACCCGGUGAUCUAGAUGGGCAGGUUGAAGGUUGGGUAACACUAACUGGAGGACCGAACCGACUAAUGUUGAAAAAUUAGCGGAUGACUUGUGGCUGGGGGUGAAAGGCCAAUCAAACCGGGAGAUAGCUGGUUCUCCCCGAAAGCUAUUUAGGUAGCGCCUCGUGAAUUCAUCUUCGGGGUAGAGCACUGUUUCGGCUAGGGGUCAUCCCGACUUACCAACCCGAUGCAAACUACGAAUACCGAAGAAUGUUAUCACGGGAGACACACGGCGGGUGCUAACGUCCGUCGUGAAGAGGGAAACAACCCAGACCGCCAGCUAAGGUCCCAAAGUCAUGGUUAAGUGGGAAACGAUGUGGGAAGGCACAGACAGCCAGGAUGUUGGCUUAGAAGCAGCCAUCAUUUAAAGAAAGCGUAAUAGCUCACUGGUCGAGUCGGCCUGCGCGGAAGAUGUAACGGGGCUAAACCAUGCACCGAAGCUGCGGCAGCGACACUAUGUGUUGUUGGGUAGGGGAGCGUUCUGUAAGCCUGCGAAGGUGUGCUGUGAGGCAUGCUGGAGGUAUCAGAAGUGCGAAUGCUGACAUAAGUAACGAUAAAGCGGGUGAAAAGCCCGCUCGCCGGAAGACCAAGGGUUCCUGUCCAACGUUAAUCGGGGCAGGGUGAGUCGACCCCUAAGGCGAGGCCGAAAGGCGUAGUCGAUGGGAAACAGGUUAAUAUUCCUGUACUUGGUGUUACUGCGAAGGGGGGACGGAGAAGGCUAUGUUAGCCGGGCGACGGUUGUCCCGGUUUAAGCAUGUAGGCUGGUUGUCCAGCAAAUCCGGAUAAUCAAGGCUGAGGUGUGAUGACGAGGCACUACGGUGCUGAAGUAACAAAUGCCCUGCUUCCAGGAAAAGCCUCUAAGCAUCAGGUAACAUCAAAUCGUACCCCAAACCGACACAGGUGGUCAGGUAGAGAAUACCAAGGCGCUUGAGAGAACUCGGGUGAAGGAACUAGGCAAAAUGGUGCCGUAACUUCGGGAGAAGGCACGCUGGUGUGUAGGUGAAGUCCCUGCGGAUGGAGCUGAGACCAGUCGAAGAUACCAGCUGGCUGCAACUGUUUAUUAAAAACACAGCACUGUGCAAACACGAAAGUGGACGUAUACGGUGUGACGCCUGCCCGGUGCCGGAAGGUUAAUUGAUGGGGUUAUCCGUAAGGAGAAGCUCUUGAUCGAAGCCCCGGUAAACGGCGGCCGUAACUAUAACGGUCCUAAGGUAGCGAAAUUCCUUGUCGGGUAAGUUCCGACCUGCACGAAUGGCGUAAUGAUGGCCAGGCUGUCUCCACCCGAGACUCAGUGAAAUUGAACUCGCUGUGAAGAUGCAGUGUACCCGCGGCAAGACGGAAAGACCCCGUGAACCUUUACUAUAGCUUGACACUGAACAUUGAGCCUUGAUGUGUAGGAUAGGUGGGAGGCUUUGAAGCGUGGACGCCAGUCUGCGUGGAGCCAACCUUGAAAUACCACCCUUUAAUGUUUGAUGUUCUAACGUUGGCCCCUUACCGGGGUUGCGGACAGUGUCUGGUGGGUAGUUUGACUGGGGCGGUCUCCUCCCAAAGCGUAACGGAGGAGCACGAAGGUUAGCUAAUCCUGGUCGGACAUCAGGAGGUUAGUGCAAUGGCAUAAGCUAGCUUGACUGCGAGCGUGACGGCGCGAGCAGGUGCGAAAGCAGGUCAUAGUGAUCCGGUGGUUCUGAAUGGAAGGGCCAUCGCUCAACGGAUAAAAGGUACUCCGGGGAUAACAGGCUGAUACCGCCCAAGAGUUCAUAUCGACGGCGGUGUUUGGCACCUCGAUGUCGGCUCAUCACAUCCUGGGGCUGAAGUAGGUCCCAAGGGUAUGGCUGUUCGCCAUUUAAAGUGGUACGCGAGCUGGGUUUAGAACGUCGUGAGACAGUUCGGUCCCUAUCUGCCGUGGGCGCUGGAGAAUUGAGGGGGGCUGCUCCUAGUACGAGAGGACCGGAGUGGACGCAUCACUGGUGUUCGGGUUGUCAUGCCAAUGGCACUGCCCGGUAGCUAAAUGCGGAAGAGAUAAGUGCUGAAAGCAUCUAAGCACGAAACUUGCCCCGAGAUGAGUUCUCCCUGAGACUUUAAGUCUCCUGAAGGAACGUUAAAGACGAUGACGUUGAUAGGCCGGGUGUGUAAGCGCAGCGAUGCGUUGAGCUAACCGGUACUAAUGAACCGUGAGGCUUAACCUUACAACGCCGAAG